GCACUGGCUAGAGUAGCUCUCGAAAAGCCGUUACCCUGACGGCUUACCGGUCUGAUUCUUUACCAGGG
rnacentral:sRNA from 1 species